rnacentral:rRNA from 1 species
CAGUAGCCGCGGUAAUACGUAGGUGGCAAGCGUUGUCCGGAAUUAUUGGGCGUAAAGGGCUCGCAGGCGGUUUCUUAAGUCUGAUGUGAAAGCCCCCGGCUCAACCGGGGAGGGUCAUUGGAAACUGGGAAACUUGAGUGCAGAAGAGGAGAGUGGAAUUCCACGUGUAGCGGUGAAAUGCGUAGAGAUGUGGAGGAACACCAGUGGCGAAGGCGGCUCUCUGGUCUGUAACUGACGCUGAGGAGCGAAAGCGUGGGGAGCGAACAGGAUUAGAUACCCCAGUAGUCCCUGUCUCUUAUAC